AUUGAACGCUGGCGGCAUGCCUUACACAUGCAAGUCGAACGGUAACGGGCCUUCGGGUGCCGACGAGUGGCGAACGGGUGAGUAAUGUAUCGGAACGUACCUUUCAGUGGGGGAUAACGUAGCGAAAGUUACGCUAAUACCGCAUAUUCUGUGAGCAGGAAAGCAGGGGAUCGCAAGACCUUGCGCUGAUUGAGCGGCCGAUAUCAGAUUAGCUAGUUGGUGAGGUAAAGGCUCACCAAGGCGACGAUCUGUAGCGGGUCUGAGAGGAUGAUCCGCCACACUGGAACUGAGACACGGUCCAGACUCCUACGGGAGGCAGCAGUGGGGAAUUUUGGACAAUGGGGCAACCCUGAUCCAGCCAUGCCGCGUGAGUGAAGAAGGCCUUCGGGUUGUAAGCUCUUUCGGCCGGGAAGGAAAUCGUAUGGGUUAAUACCCUGUGCGGAUGACGGUACGGCAUAAGAAGCACCGGCUAACUACGUGCCAGCACGCCGCGGU
rnacentral:rRNA from 1 species